rnacentral:tRNA from 1 species
CAGAGUGUAGUUCAACUAGAAGAACAUUUCCCUUACACUGAAAAAAAGCCCGUGCAAAUCGAGCCACCCUGA